rnacentral:rRNA from 1 species
GAUGAACGCUGGCGGCGUGCCUAAUACAUGCAAGUCGAGCGAACAGACGAGAAGCUUGCUUUUCUGAUGUUAGCGGCGGACGGGUGAGUAACACGUGGAUAACCUACCUAUAAGACUGGGAUAACUUCGGGAAACCGGAGCUAAUACCGGAUAAUAUUUUGAACCGCAUGGUUCAAAAGUGAAAGACGGUCUUGCUGUCACUUAUAGAUGAAUCCGCGCUGCAUUAGCUAGUUGGUAAGGUAACGGCUUACCAAGGCAACGAUGCAUAGCCGACCUGAGAGGGGGUCGGCCACACGUGAACCUGAGCCAGGGCCAAGACCCUUAGGGGAGGCACAGGAAGGAAAUCUUCGCAAAUGGGGGAAAGCCUGAGGAAGAAACGCCGGGUGGGUGAUGAAGGUCUGCGGACGGUAAAACUCUGUUAUUGGGGAAGAACAAUUGUGUAAGUAACUGUGCAGACCUGGCGGUAACCUAUCAAGAAGGCCCGGGUUAACUCCGG